rnacentral:rRNA from 1 species
UACGUAGGGUGCGAGCGUUGUCCGGAAUUAUUGGGCGUAAAGAGCUUGUAGGUGGCUCGUUGCGUCGGGAGUGAAAACCCGCGGCUUAACCGCGGGCCUGCUUCCGAUACGGGCGGGCUAGAGUUCGGCAGGGGAGACUGGAAUUCCUGGUGUAGCGGUGGAAUGCGCAGAUAUCAGGAGGAACACCGGUGGCGAAGGCGGGUCUCUGGGCCGAUACUGACACUGAGACGCGAAAGCGUGGGGAGCGAACAGG